rnacentral:piRNA from 1 species
UGCCUAUUUGGUGAAACAAGGGAGGUUGU